GGCCUCGUAGCUUAGUUGGUUAGAGCGACGGUGCGUGAUCUAAUCCGGUGGUCGUGGGUUCAAAUCCCACCGGGGUCA
rnacentral:tRNA from 1 species